rnacentral:rRNA from 1 species
CCUACGGGAGGCAGCAGUGGGGGAUAUUGCACAAUGGGGGAAACCCUGAUGCAGCGACGCCGCGUGGGUGAAGAAGCGCCUCGGCGCGUAAAGCCCUGUCAGCAGGGAAGAAAAUGACGGUACCUGAAGAAGAAGCCCCGGCUAACUACGUGCCAGCAGCCGCGGUAAUACGUAGGGGGCAAGCGUUAUCCGGAUUUACUGGGUGUAAAGGGGGCGCAGACGGCGAUGCAAGCCAGGAGUGAAAGCCCGGGGCCCAACCCCGGGACUGCUCUUGGAACUGCGUGGCUAGAGUGCAGGAGGGGCAGGCGGAAUGGCUGGUGUAGCGGUGAAAUGCGUAGAUAUCAGGAGGAACACCGGUGGCGAAGGCGGCCUGCUGGACUACAUCUGACGUUGAGGCCCGAAAGCGUGGGGAGCAAACAGGAUUAGAUACCCGAGUAGUC